GCUUAACUCAGAAUGAAAACAUUGCGCUAUCAUCAAUCUAUCGCUGCCACCGAGGUGGAAAAUCCAUAUAAUACAACAAAGUACAUGAUCACAAUCCGGCUGAGAAGGCUGAAAUCGCCCCCCUUUUGCUGCGGCAGAAAUUACCACUAGUAUCUGGAACGAGGAGGGCGACCUGCAGCUCGAAUCGAUUCGAAGCGCGUGAUCCUGUGGCUUGGCUAGGGCUUGGCGGGAUCCGGGCUGGGCGGGAGUCCGCUCCUCCGGCUCCAGCCGCGGCUGCGCGCUUGCGGGCGAUGAAGGCCUGGAAGACCUCGCGGCGCCGGGCGGCCUUGGCGCGCGAGGGCUCGAUGUUGGCGUAGGAGAGGCGGGCGGCGACGGCGGUGAGCGCGGCCCCGGUGAGGAAGAGGCCGGCGGGUCGCCAUGUACUGCAGCCACACCAUCGCCUCCAACGAGUAGUACAGAGACCCUAGUCUCGGCCUCUCGGGGGCACGGAAGACGGGAUGGACAUGUUGGCGCAAAACGAAUGGUGAAGGCGGAUUCACGGCACUACGUCUUGGCAUGUCGAGAACGCUGCGCACACAUCGAGCAGAGUUUUCUUGGGAAUCAGAGAGCAGAGGAUGAAAUUAAGCAGCUCGCAUCAUCAAUUCAUUGAUGGACAUGGACUAAUUACAGCAGGCACGCAAGCAUGAACUGCACCCUAGUAUGGUAUAUACACACACAACACCAUGGUAGGAGUACUAAACACUCUGUCUAAUUGAUCCGGCCAAUCAGCGAAGACUUUGCGCAAGGUCGACGGUGGCGCUGCUGCUGCUGUGGGCGCUGGGCGAGCUGGCGGGGACGCCGUCGUCGUCUUCCCUUCUGUUGCUGGUGCCAGUGUAGUCGUCCUCCUCGGAGAUGGGGUCGAGGCAGCUCUCUGCUGCUUGGCGGAGGCGGAGUCUCUGUAGUUGCACGACAUGGAGGGUCUCCGGCGGGGCCGCCUCGUCCGCGGCGAAGCGGCCGAGCGUGCAGGAUCUCUCGGCGGGGGCCAUGAUGGCUACAGUUCACUGGUGUGGU
rnacentral:rRNA from 1 species